GGGGCUGUUUUGGUUUUGACAGCAUCUGACAUUGGACAGUAAGCACGUCGGGCGUCGGAGGUUUGCCCGUUAAUCUCAGCUUCCAAACCAUUAGUUGGCAACAACAAUUAUGCACUCGCUGCGUAAUCUACCAAGUAGUUUACCUUAAUCGGUUGGCCGCCAAGGCUGCGGUCACGACGAGUAUCUCUCCAGGCUUUAGGCCGGUUCUGUCUGGAAUACGAGGUAUCAUCCAAACCGGAUGCACAGAGGGACUCCUUUAAACUCUGCCAAGAUUCAAAGGAUAAGCUUAGGUUGGCCUGCCUCCCGGCAGACCUUUGCCGACAAUCAAAGAGAGGAUAAGCGUGUAGAAAACUGCCUGGUGCGGUGUUUGGACGGCGGUUCGAGUCCGCCCAGCUCCACU
rnacentral:tmRNA from 1 species